rnacentral:tRNA from 2 species
GGCCGGUUGGCCCAAUUGGUAAGGCGUCUGACUACGAUGUAGCACACACGCCUUGUGCUCCGCUGUUGUAUCAUCAGGAGAUUCUGGGUUCGAGCCCCAGGCUGGUCA